UACGAAGGCUCCAAGUGUUAUCCGGAUUUAUUGGGCGUAAAGCGUACGCAGACUGUUUGAUGCGUCUCAUGUUAAAUCCUACUGCCUAACAGUAGGGCCGCAUGGGAUACGAUCAGACUAGAGGAUGUGAGAGGUGACUGGAACUCAUGGUGUAGGGGUGAAAUCCGUUGAUAUCAUGGGGAACACCAAAGGCGAAGGCAGGUCACUGGCACAUUCCUGACGUUCAGGUACGAAAGCGUGGGGAGCGAAGAGG
rnacentral:misc_RNA from 1 species